rnacentral:rRNA from 1 species
CCUACGGGUGGCAGCAGUAAGGAAUAUUGGUCAAUGGGCGCAAGCCUGAACCAGCCAUGCCGCGUGAAGGAUGACGGCCCUAUGGGUUGUAAACUUCUUUUGUACGGGAAAAAACCUCUGGUCGUGAAUCAGAGCUGAUGGUACCGUCAGAAUAAGCAUCGGCUAACUCCGUGCCAGCAGCCGCGGUAAUACGGAGGAUGCGAGCGCUAUCCGGUUACAUUGGGUUUAGGCGGUGCGCAAGGGGAGUGGUGAAAGCCUACAGCUUAACUGUAGAACUGCCAUUGAUACUGUUAUUCUUGAGUGUUGUUGAGGUAGGCGGAAUGUGUCAUGUAGCGGUGAAAUGCUUAGAUAUGACACAGAACACCGAUCGCGAAGGCAGCUUACCAAGCAACAACUGACGCUCAUGCACGAAAGCGUGGGGAUCAAACAGGAUUAGAUACCCCAGUAGUC